rnacentral:misc_RNA from 1 species
GUCGUAACAAGGUUUCCGUAGGUGAACCUGCGGAAGGAUCAUUACCACACCUAAAAAACUUUCCACGUGAACCGUAUCAACCCUUUUAGUUGGGGGUCUUGUACCCUAUCAUGGCGAAUGUUUGGACUUCGGUCCGGGCGAGUAGCUUUUUGUUUUAAACCCAUUUCACAAUUCUGAUUAUACUGUGGGGACGAAAGUCUCUGCUUUUAACUAGAUAGCAACUUUCAGCAGUGGAUGUCUAGGCUC